rnacentral:rRNA from 1 species
UACGGGAGGCAGCAGUGGGGAAUAUUGCACAAUGGGCGAAAGCCUGAUGCAGCUAUGCCGCGUGUAUGAAGAAGGCCUUAGGGUUGUAAAGUACUUUCAUCGGGGAGGAAAAAACAAAACUAAUAAUUUUAUUUCUUGACGUUACCCGAAAAAGAGGCACCGGCUAACUCCGUGCCAGCAGCCGCGGUAAUACGGAGGGUGCUAGCGUUAAUCAGAAUUACUGGGCGUAAAGAGCACGUAGGUGGUUUUUUUAAGUCAGAUGUGAAAUCCCUGGGCUUAACCUAGGAACUGCAUUUUGAAACUGAAAUACUAGAGUAUCGUAGAGGGAGGUAGAAUUCUAGGUGUAGCGGUGAAAUGCGUAGAUAUCUGGAGGAAUACCUGUGGCGAAAGCGGCCUCCUAAACGAAUACUGACACUGAGGUGCGAAAGCGUGGGGAGCGAAACAGGGAUUAGGAUACCCGU